AUUCACUCAGAGCAGACCGAAGACUGUGAGACUUCCUCCCCACAGUGAGCUAAAAGGACGCUUUUGUCAGAGUGGGGAAAUAAAAGGGCUUUAUGGGAAGGAAGAUAAGAACAGAUGAGUCAGAGGUUUCUGCUUAAUGCUCACUCUUCAAUUCUUUCCCGAGCAAAACCAAGAAUCUUCUUGGGCUAAGCCCCAAUUUGGGGUUCACCUGCCUUGCAGCAACAUGGCACCAAACAUGCGGCAGAAGAGAGAAAACGACAGCAUGAGAGACGGAGAAAGAAAUGGCCAGUUGGCAAGGUGGUAAUGAGAGACAGCAGUUGGCAAGACAGUGAGAGACAGCAAGAGAUGGCAAGUGACAGUUAUUGUUAAGAUGACAAAUGGAGAGAUGGCAAGAAAUAGAGAAGCAGUCAGUGAUGGAGGCUGCAAGAGUUGUAACACUAACCAAAGGCUCUUUUUAGAAUCAUCGUUUUCCCUGGCAGGUGGUACAGCCAAGCAGACAGGCAAGUAAGUGGCCAUACUGCUACUGCCUCAUGUAGGAUCCGGCAGGCUGGUGGGUUAUCAGUCCUCACGUGGGACCCUCCCACCAUGGCAGCUGAGCACAUCCAAGCUGGGGGAUCCUGAAGAGACCUUCACCUGGGUGCCACGUGGAAGAUUGGCCAGCACCAUUUUGACUCCUGUGGAUGGAGCUAGCUGAGGUUUUAUUUUGGACACACAAAAAAGAAAAAAGCAAUUGAAUUGUUUUGUAGCUGGAGACAUGGGCAAGGGGGUAUCCCCAAGCAGUAAACUCCUCCGCAGGUGGGCUGAGGGCUAGGGCUGAGCCUCAGGUGGGUCUCCCGUUCCCUGUGCUCCCCUGCACAGCGGCCUCCCUCCCGGACUCUGGGGCAGCCGCAGGAGGGGCAGGCUGGGAGGGGCUGCCCUGGCUGUUCACUUGGGCAGGACGUCAAAGGACUCGGACACCGGACUCGGACACCGGCUUCCCGUUGCAGGUCUGGAUCUUCUUCACAACCACGGCCCUGGUGGAGCUGGUGCGGCUGAAGGAGCUGGCGCCCAUGCCAGAGCCAAAGCUGGAGCCCAGACCGUAGCUGAGGCCGGGGCUCGUGAGGCCCCCAUAGGCCGAGCUCAGCGCACCUGCAUAGCUGCUGGUGGUCUUCGUAUGGAUACUCCUGUUCUGCAUCCCAGACUCCAGCCGGCUCUCCUCGCCCUCUAGCAGCUUCCUGUAGGUGGCGAUCUCGAUCUCGAUGUCCAGGGCCAGCUUGACGUUCAUCAGCUCCUAGUACUCACGCAGCUGCCGCGCCAUGUCCUGCUUGGCCGGCUGGAGGGCGGCCUCCAGCUCGGACAGCUUGGCGUUGGCACCCUUAACUGCCAGCUCCUCAGGCUGCUCGGCAUCUGUGAUGGCGGCCUCCAGGGAAGCCCUCUGGCCUUUGAGGCACUCAGUCUCAGCCUGGAGCCCACUGAUGUUCCAGUUUAUCUCGGAGGUCUCAGUCUUUGUAUGCUGCACGUCAUCCCAGUGCCUCCCAGCCAGCGCCUGCAGCUUCUCAUACUUGAUCUGGUACAUGCUCUCAGCCUCAGCCCGCCUGCGGUUGGCGAUCUCGUACUGCGCCUUGACCUCAGCGAUGAUGCUGUCCGUGUCCAUGGAGCGGCUGUUGUCCAUGGACAGCACCACAGACGUGGCGGAGAUCUGGGACUGCAGCUCCCGGAUCUUCUCUUCAUACAGCCGCCUGAGGAAGUUGAUCUCGUCAGUCAGCCCUUCCAGGCCAGACUCCAGCUCUAACUUGUUCAUGUAAGCUUCAUCCACAUCCUUCUUGAUGAGGACAAAUUGAUUCUCCAUCUCUGUACGCUUAUUGAUCUCAUCCUCGUACUUGUUCUUGAAGUCCUCCACCAGCCCCUGCGUGUUGCCAAGCUCCGUCUCCAGCUUCAGCUUCUCCUGGCCCAGAGUCUCCAGCUGCCGCCUAAGGUUGUUGAUGUAGCUCUGGAACAUGUUGUCCGUGUUGCUCCCAGCCGUCUGCUGCUGCUGCAGGAGGCUCCACUUCGUCUCCUGAAUCUUGUUCUGCUGCCCCAGGAACCGCACCUUGUCGAUGAAGGAGGCAAACUUGUUGGUGGGGUUCUUGAUCUGCUCCUUCUCCUGGGUGCGCAUGGCCUGGAUGUUGAGAUCCACCUCCUAAGGGGGCUCAGCAGACUCUGGUUGACUGUGACAGCAGUGAUGCCUCCCAUGCCGCUGGUCCCACCAUAGCCUCUGCCCAGGCCAGCCCAGAAGCUGCUGCUGCCCAGUAGGGAGAAGCUCUAAGAGCUGAUGCAGGCACUGGGCCCACUCGUAUAGGAGCGGCAUAGCAGCAUUUUUACAAUAAUCCAGUAACCCUGUUGUUCAUCAAUAGCAUAAUUGAGAAAUAUAUUGUGAUAUAUUUAUACGAUGGAAACUAUUCAGCAAUGGGAAUGACUGAACUACAGCACUAUGAAUCUUAUAGAUUGAGUAUACGAAGCAAGAUACAAAUUACUCCAUUUAUAUAAAUGUAAAAAAAAAAACAAAACAAAACCUAGGCAGCAUAGCCAAACCCUGUCUGCACAAAAAUGUAAAAUAAAAUUAGCCAGGUAUGGUGGAGGAUGAGUCCUAGCUACUUAGGAGGCUGAGGUGUGUGGAUCACUUGAGCCAGGAGUUCAAGGCUGCAGUGAGUCAUGACAGGACAGAGGGAGACCUGUCUACUGUCUGUCCCUAUAGAAAAAGAAAAAAGUAAGUCAAAAAACAAGCCAAAUGAAACUAUAUUGUUGAGAGAUGUGUAUAUAAGUGGUAAAAUGGAAAACAAGCAAGUAGCUAACAUAAAAUUCAAGAUCAUGGUUACCUCUAGAGAUAGAAUGGGGUGUGUGACCUGAGGGAAGUCUCGUAUGGAUGAAGGGCUGCUUUUGGGGUGCUGGGUAAAUUCUAAUUUUUGAAGUGGGUGGUGGUGGAAUGUUUUAAAAACAUUAAAACUUUUUAAAAUGAAUGGUGCUUAUAAGGGAUUAAAAAAAAAAAACAUGAAGCAUAACCUGAAGUUUUCAUGAUGCCAGUCUCCUGGUGUCUUUUCCUGAAUUUGGCAGACAGGAUGGCCAGAGGAAAUGCAUCAAUGCAGAGGGACAGAAACAGCAGUGUGGCCUGGGAAAGGUGAGUGGCCACUGCUUCAGCCAUGGCAUUCACUACAGCAGUGCUUCUUUUUCAUUAUUUCUUUUCCUUUAUCAUCUUAUUUUAAAAACAUUUUGCAUGUAUAUAUUUUCAAGUUUCCACACAAUGCAUUGAUUUACUUAUAUUUUCCAUUUUUUUCUUUUUAAUUUUUUUCUAGAACAAUGCUUCUUAAACUUUAGUGUGCACACUGGGACUCUUACUAAAUGCAGAUUCUGGUUUAGUAGGUCCCGGGGAAGGACCAGGGAUUCUGCAUUUCUAACAAGCUCCCUGGUGAGGUCCUUGCUGCUGGUUCACGGAACCCCACUUUGGCCAGAAGCUAGAGCAUUUCCAAGUGGAAAGUGGCCUCUGCAGCCAGGUUCAGUGGCUCACGCCUGUAAUCUCAGCACUUUUGGAGGCUGGGGUGGGAGGAUUGCUUGAGCCCAGGAGUUUAAGACCAGCCUGGGCAACAUAGUGAGAUCCCAUCUCAGGAAGGAAGGAAGGAAGGGAGGGAGGAAGAGAGAGAGGGAAAGAGGGAAAAGCAAGCAAGCAAGCCAUCCUGCCAGUUUCCUACCCGAGUGUUGACUGCUGAAUGAGGAGACCUCAUCACAGGAAGUACACUCAUCCUAUUCCUACUUCCACUCUCCUUCCAUCACCACUCCUAUCUCCAUACUGGUUCUGAGCUCAUAGGUCCCAGGGAGGGGCCAAGGAUCCCUACAGAUCCACCUGCCCAUCUCCAUUCCACUCCCACUUAUCUCCUCUGUCCCUCUGUCCAUCCUCAGAUUCUUUCCCAACCCCAUCUGCAUGUGGUCUCCAUUGCAUCCAUAUCGCUAUCUUCAUUUCUGUCUGUUUUCCCAUCUGUUGCAAUCUCCAGCUCCAGGUGAAUCCCAACUCCCAUUGCUAUCUCCAUCCUAUCCCCACUAUACCCCAUCCCUAUUCUGAUACACUUCCUUUUCACCCUUACUUUCUCCAGAGUGAAAAUUGAGGCAGAUUCAUAAAGAAGUCUAAGAGUUUUGGGGAUGUUGGGGACUAUCAAGGUUGACAGUCUCUCCAUAUAGAAAUUCUUCCCCAGAUUCCCAGGAGAAACUUUGAAAUAAAUUACUCAAGUCAAGAUUUCAGAUAUAACUUAUUCACUGCCCAUGGUGAGUAUGGGGGAGGGCUAGGACUGGGAUGGGAAGCAGGAGGGAAUAAAAAGGAGAUAGGGCUCUCCAGAGAGACAAGAAGGUAAAGAUUCAACAAGGGAAGCUAAGAAGUCACAGACUGGGAGACAGAGGCAAAUGAGAAAUGUAUGGAUAACAGAUCUCAAAUCUAGUUUAACCUCUUCCCCACCUUCCCAUCCCCAUACAGGUCAGGCUUUGACACAAGGAAUUUAGAGAAGAAAAAAGGUGUGGUCUGCUGUUUCAUUCAGUCCAUUAUCUGUUGAGCAUUCCUUUUUUUAUUCAAAUAGAGCAGAAGAAAGGAGCUUGAAAUGGACAGUUAUCUCUGGUUUAUCUGGCUGUAGAGUGCAGAGAUGAUUCUCUUUCAGGAUGGGAGAGGGGGUGGGGAGGAGGAGAGAGGUGGGAAUGUAAUGAUGAUGGUGAUGGGUUGAUGAAUGUGAGACUGGAGGUUUUUUUCAUACAAAGUCUCGCUCUUGUUCCCCAAGCUGGAGUGCAAUGGCAUGAUCUUGGCUCACUGCAACCUCCGCCUCUUGGGUUCAAGCAAUUCUCCUGCCUCAGCCUCCCAAGUAGCUGGGAUUACAGGCACCUGCCACCAUGCCCAGCUAAUUUUUGUAUUUUAAGUAGAGACAGGGUUUCACUGUUUUGGCCAGGCUGGUCUCGAACUCCUGACCUUAGGUUAUCCACCCGCCUCGGCUUCCCAAAGUGCUGGGAUUACAGGUGUGAGCCACCGCGCCUGGCUGAGACUGGAGUUUUAAAUUACAGUAGUCCCUCCUCCUGUAUCUGCGGUUUCAGUUACCUGAGGUCGACCACACUCUGAAAUUAUUAAAUGAGAAAAAUCCAGAAACAAACAAUUCAUAAAUUUUAAAUUGCAUGUUGUUCUGAGUAGCAUGGUAAGAUCUCAAGCAAUUCCACUCCGUCCUGCUCAGGAGGAAUCAUUUCUUUGACUUAUCCCUUUGUCCAGCAUUUCCACUCUGUCUAUGCUACCCUUCAUUGGUCGCUUGGUAAAGGUCUCGGUUAUCAGAUCAACUGUUGCGGUAUCACAGUGCUUAUGUUCAAGUAACCCUUAUUUUACUUAAUAAUGGCCCCUAAGUGCUAGAGUAGUGAUGCUGGUAUAUUGUUAUAAUUGUUUUAUUUUAUUAUUACUGUUAAACUCUUACUGUGUGUAAUUUAUACAUUAAACUUUAUCAUAGGUAUGUACGUAUAGGAAAAAAACACAGCAUAUAUAGGGUCUGAUAUUAUUCAAAGCUUCAGGCAUCCGUUGGAGCAUCUUGGAAAGUAUCCCCUUGGAUAAGAGAGGACUAGUGUAUAUUGAAUGACUAGAAGACGAAUGAGCCCAUCCAAGAUACUGUUAAGGCACAGAGAAGGGAAAUGUGACAACACUGAGUUGAAGGCAGUGACUGGAGGAAAAUAAAACAGUUUCAUGUUUGUGCCCCCACUGAGUUUCAGAUUAUUCAACUAACCAGUCACCUGCCGUGUAGAGCUUCUUUCUUUCCCAAGAUCUUGCUGUCUUGCUUAGAGAUUUCAGGUUUCUUCCCUUAUAUGCGUGCUGGGAAUUCAGCAGUGGAAGCUCUGUCCAGAUGCCUUCUGCUGGAAUUAGCAAUAGAAUCUCACAAAUUGUUUAAGCCCAGCUAUGUCUCUUCUUGACUUCUUGAGUGAAUCCCAAGAGGCAUUGGAACUUUACUUUUGCUGACUGUUUCCCCAUUUUUCCUUCUGAUUCUUUCAGUUUCUGGUUAUUGGCUAGGGUUGUUUGUGAGUCAUCUAACUUGUAUUUUUGCUGUUCCAUAGCCUGCCCAUGAAUGCAGGGGAUUGGGGUGAGAAGGCAGCCCACGCAUUCAAGUUGAAUUUGUGCAGGGUGGUGAGCUUCCCCCUGGGUAGGCAGCAGACUUGGUUAGGAGCCUGGUUUCAUGGUUUGACCACUGGUGAUCUCUGCUGGGUGGCUGGUGGGAUCUAGUCUCUGAUAGGUGAGAGAUGACAGAGAAUCUCGUUUGUUAGCUCUUUUUUUUUUUUUUUUUUUUUUUUGACAAAGUUUCCCUCGUGUUGCCCAAGCUGGAGUGCAAUAGCGUGAUCUCAGCUCACUGCAACCUCUGCCUCCUGGGUUCAAGUGAUUCUCCUGCCUCAGCCUCCCAAGUAGCUGGGAUUACAGGUGCAUACCACCAUACCCUGCUAAUUUUUUGUAUUUUUAGUAGAAAUGGGGUUUCACAAUGUUAGCCAGGCUGGUCUUGAACUCCUGACCUCAGGUGAUCUGCCCGCCUUGGCCUCCCAAAGUGCUGGGAUUACAGGCAUGAGCCACCGCACCCAGCCUGUUAGUUCAUUUUGUAUGACAGAUUGUUUAUUUGUGAGAUCAAGUCACUUAAACUCUUUUGUGCCCAAAAGAAGGAGAAGAGCCCUUUGAGAUCUGUCUGAACUGGUGAGUUUUUGUGGUUCUGUGGCUACUGACCGAUGAGGAGUUAUAAAAAUGAAGCUGCAAACUCUGGGGUCUCUAGGCCUGUAAAUGAGAAAAGCCUUAAAUCUCAUUGUGUGAAUGGGGAAAAUUUUUCUACCUCCUGAGGGUAUUAACAAAUUAGAUUAUAAAGAUUUAAAUUAAAGGGGCUUUGUCCUGAUUGGUUUAUAGAGACCAGUAAGAGCUUUUGUAAAUCCAAUUUUGCCCAAACUCCCAGAAAACAAAGAAGCUGAACUCCUAAUACUUUAAAUGGGAUAAGCAAAACAAAACAAAAACCUUUUUCAUAGAAACUGCUAGCUCAGAAGCAAUUUUAUACAAUAAUCCACGGUUCAUGUAAUCAGGAAAGGUUUAAUCCUUGGGCAAGUCAGACUGAUUUGAUGAUUUUGCCCUAAAAAGUAACAUCUUUUUACUGAUUUUACCAGUGUAGAAUAUAAUACAAACAUAUGUUUCAGUUUAUUUUAUUUUUUUUAACUGUACCUGCUGGAAUAGGAUUAGUUUGAUUUUAAGAAUUGCUUUUGUUUUCUUAUGGAGAAAAUAAUCUGUAUACCGAACACACAGACGUACUCCUCUGCCUCUGUUGGUCCCAGUAUCAAUCACCCUUCUUCCAACUUUAUCAAUCACCCUCUUUCCAACUUUACCUAAGUAGCUAAGUUCUGUUUCAGGGAGGGAGAGAACUGGGAGGUAGGGCAUGGAGAACUAUCUAUUAUAUACAAACAUUUUAUCAAAUCAACAGUGUUUACAAAGAAUAUAUAAUAUGACCCCCACAGCCAUAUACAUAUAUCUUUUUUAUACUUUUUUUUUUUUUUUUUUUUUUGCGGGGGGGACAGAGUCUCACCCUGUCACCCAGGCUGGAGUGCAAUGGCACGAUCUCGGCUCACUGCACCUCCGCCUCCCGGGUUCAAGCAAUUCUCCUGCUUCAGCCUCUUCAGUAGUUGGGAUUACAGGCAUGUGCCACCACGCCUGGCUAAUUUUUGUAUUUUUACUAGAGACGGGGUUUCACCAUGUUGGCCAGGCUGGUCUCAAACUCCUGACCUCAAGUGAUCUACCUGCCUCAGCCUCCCAAAGUGCUGGGAUUAUAGGCGUGGGCCACUGGGCCUGGCCUACACUUUCUUAAAAUGGCAAUGAUGAACACACUCAUGAAAAUGACCCAAAGGUUAAGCCACUCCAUAAUAUAGAAAAGUAAGAAGUAAAGGUAGACAGACUAUGCUUGGUGACCCAUGUUUGAGCAUUCUAUCUUAAUUAGAAAUUAUCCAGAUACCCAAAAAUUAUUAUUUAAUAUUUAACCUAGGUUUUAAAGUUAGCUGGCCGGGUGCAGUGGCUCAUGCCUGUAAUCCCAGUGCUUUGGGAGUCCAAGGCGGGCAGAUCAACUGACGUCAGGGGUUCGAGACCAGCCUGAGCAACAUGGACAAACCCCGUCUCUACUAAAAAUAAAGAAAAAAUUAGCCUGGUGUGGUGGUGCAUGCCUGUAAUCCCAGCUACUCAGGAGGCUGAGGUAGGAAAAGCACUUGAACCCUGGAGGUGGAGGUUGCGAUGAGCCGAGAUCACGCCAUUGCACUCCAGCCUGGACAACGAGAGCGAAACUCCAUCUCGAAAUAAAUAAAUAAGUAAAUAAAUAAAUAAGGUUAGCUAAAGAAGGAAAAAAAGUUAGCUAAAGAUCUUGGGGAUUAUAUUUAAACGGAUGUAUUAUAGAACCUAACUACUACUUAUAUAAAAAAAUUGGUCAGAAUUGUGCUUCAGCUGGCAUGGUGGCUCACACCUAUAAUCCCAGCACUUUGGGAGGCCAAGGCAGGAGGAUUGCUUUGAGCCCAGGAGUUUGAGACCAGCCUGGGCAACAAAGCGAAACCCCAUCUUAAAAAAAAAUAAUUUAGUUAAACGCAUUAUUCUGUUUUCCUUUUUUUUGAGACAAGGUCUCUCUCUGCCACCCAGGUUGGAAUGCAGUGGUGUGACCAUGGCUCACUGCAGCCUUGACCUCCUGGGCUCAAUUAAUCUUCCUACUUAAGCCUCCCUAACAGCUGGGACCACAGUGCACACCACCACUCCCAGCUAUAUAUAUAUUCUUUAAUGCUUUGUAGAGAUGAAGAAGUGUCACUGUGUUGCCCAGGCUGGUCUCAAACUCCUGGGCUCAAGCGAUCCACCUGCCUCGGUCUCCUAAAACACUGGGAUUACAGGCUUAAGCCACCAUGCCCGGCCUGUGUUUUUCUUAAUCUUACUAUCUCAAAUUAGGUAUCUAUCAUUCCCAUGGAUGUUUUUAUGUCUUUAUUACAUAUGUUGGUGUAUCCAUAAACAAUUUCUACUAUUUUGCAUGUUUUAAAGCUUUUUGUAAAUGCUGUUAUUUUGCAUGAAUUCCUUUGCAACUUGUUUUUUUUUUUUUUUUUUUGAGCUUAUAUUUUUAAACCUUCUUAUUUGGGAAUAAUUUUAGGUUUACAGGAAAAUUGCAAAAGUAGUACAGUUACUGUAUGCCUUUCAGUCAGCUUCUAAUGUUAACACCAUACAUAACUGUGGUGCAUUUAUCAAAACUAAGAAAUAGCCUGUAAUCUCAGCACUUUGGGAGGCCGAGGUGGGCGGAUCAUGAGGUCAGGAGUUCGAGACUGUCCUGGCUUACACGGUGAAACCCCAUCUCUACUAAAAAUACAAAAAAUUAGCUGGGUGUGGUGGCACGCUCCUGUAGUCCCAGCUACUCCGGAGGCUGAGACAGGAGAAUUGCUUGAACCCUGGAGGCAGAGCUUGCAGUGAGCUGAGAUCGCGCCAUUGCACUCCAGCCUGGGCGACGCAGCAAGACUAUCUCAAAACAAAACAAAACAAAAACUAAGAAAUAAACGUUGGUACAAUACUAUUAACUAAGCUAUAGACUUUAUUCAGAUUUCACCAGUUUUUCCACUAAUGUCCUUUUCCAGGAUCCUACCCAGGAUACCACAUUACACUUAGCAGAUUGCAUUUUUGAGAUUUAUGAUGACACAUGACAUUUUAAUUUAUUCAUUCUAAUUGAAGUUGGAUUCCCAUUGUUUGACCAUACCAACAUGUAUUUAUUCUCCUGUCGGUAGGUAGUUAGGUUGUUUCCAAAUUUCUUUUACUAUUACAAACAAUGGUGCAAUACUUGUACCUCUGUCCUUAUCUUCUUUACACUGUCAGGAAACAGAGAGCACCUAUCUAUAAUUUACGAUGAAGUCUAAGCCUGUACCUUCAAAACCUGGCUCUGACUUUUUCUUCUAGCCUCCUCUUCAUCUCCCACCAAACCUCCAGGUUCAGGACUGGUUACUCCAGCUCUCUCCAAUGUUUUCUUUUUCUUUCUUUUUUUUAUUUUCUUUUUUUAUUUUUUAGCAUCAGGGUCUCAGUCUUUUUGUCCAGGCUGGAGUACAGUGGCAUGAACAUAGCUCACUUUAACCUUGAACUCCUAGGCUCAAGCAAUCCUCCCACCUUAGCCUCCCAAGUACUAGGACUACAGGCACUUGCCACCAUGCCUGGCCAUUUUUAUUGUUUAUUUUUGAAGAGACGGGGUCUUGCUUUGUUGCCCAGGCUGGUCUGGAGCUCCUGGGCUCAAGCAAUUCUCCCACCUCGGCCUUGCAAAGUGCUGGGAUUAUGGAUGUGAGUCACCGCAAUUGGCCUUCAGCCUUCCCUUUUCUGGUCAUCUUUCUUACCCCACUGCCAGCCCCAGCAGUGUCUAUCUGAAUGCUGUGCAAUUUAAGAGUAAAAUAGGGUUAGUAAGGAAAGCUUGGACUGGGCAUGAAAGAGACUUAUGUUCAUGUCUAUCUACCUCUUCAUUUGACAAAGGGUUCCUAAUUAUCUCCCAUGUGGCAGACACAGUGCUAGGUACCCAGAGGUUUGUCCUUAGAUGCUCCCCUUUUCAUUCCACAUCUCAGGGGCUCUUGUUCAUUCUGAUGGCUUCAAUUCUGAAAUCCAUAACUCCAGCCCAGACUUUGUUUCCUGAGCUUCUAGCUCAUAUAUGUAACUGCUUCCUGGACAUUCCCAUUUCUCAUAGGUAACCUCAAAGUUGAUUUGUUCAAAAAUUACUUCAUGGCUGGGUGCUGUGGCUUAUGCCUGUAAUCCCAGCAUUUUGGGAGGCUGAAGUGGGAGGAUUUCUUGAGCCCAAGAGUUCAAGAAAUUUCAAGACAGCUUCUUUCAAUUUCUGUAGCUAUCCAGUUGCAGACUGGUGAAAUUUGCAAACCAUUGUUAACCACAGACCACACUUUGAGUAGCACCAAAGAGAGGCAACAGAACAGAAUGUACAUAUGUGGUCCUUAGAGCAGGACAGCAGAAGGCAGAAAAAGAAGAUUCUUUUAAGCAAACAGGUAAUAAUGACAUCAUCAGUAACUACAGUUACUGAUGUAGUUCUCUACUAAGUUCUCUGUACUCAAUCAGUUCUCUGUACUAAGAUAUGGGUAACCCGGGGCAGUGCAAGUGCAGAGGAGGCACCUAGGCCAGCCUGGGUAUCAGGGAAGGCAUAAGACAGGUAGGAGUUGGGUGGGGGAAGCAUUAGUGACGAGUGGGAAGGACACUCCAGGCAGAGAAACAAGUUCUGGAGUCAUUCUGCAGCAUAUGGGUUAGAGGAUGACCUUUCCUGUGAUUUGAUGGCUACUUGUCUCUGCGCAUCAGCAUUAGUUUCCAUGUGUAUAAAAUGGAUAUGAUAAUCCUUUCUUUGAAUCACAAAAAGAUAAAGCAUGAGAUGUACCUGUUAUAAUGCCUGGUGCUUGCUAAUAUUGCUGUUCUGUGUGUAAAAGAUACAGGAGUCAGAGCUGCCACAGACAGCGAGUUACAGCACUUUGCAGGGGACAGCUCAUGGACCCAGGACUGGAGCCCAGAAUGACAAGGGUUCUGGAAGGUAACAGGGAAAAUGGCAGUGGGGUGGGCAGCAUGCCUGCCCCUGAGUCAUUCCCAGGCCUAGGUGUGUGUCUACAGGAUGGACUGUCAGGGGAGGAUAGGGUGCAUUGUAAGGUUGGGGGAGGAGGCAGGACCUCAGGGCAAACUCCUCUGACCUACAAGGCCCAGGCAUUCCAGAUGUCCACGCAAAAAUUGGCUCCAAAUUAAAAGGCUGAAAGGUGGGGCUGGCUCUGUCCUAUUUUGAUAUGCUUUGAGGCAUUCGAUAAAGAUGUUAAUGGGAUCAUUCAUAAAUCAGGAAACUAAUCCUCUGAGGUGCUGGUUGCUAAUGAAGCGAGAAUCAGGAAGAUUAAAUCACAGAUUUCAAAAUCUCAGGCUGGAAUUUAAUCCCAGACCUUGAGUCCAGACUUCAUCUCAAACAGAUGGCAUGGUUCGAAACAUAUCCCGACUGCAGUAGUCACUUGGAAAUGAGUUCCCAGUAGUCCUUGCAGUUCAACCAAAUACUACUUCUGGGAAUGGGGCAUGGAAAUGGGACGUCGGGGUGCAGCAAAGGCUUCCUGGAGGUGACCCCAAGGGAGAGUGGCCUAUAGUAGACACUCAUUAAAUAUUGGUAAAACAAAUGGAGUUAGUAGAUGAAGAAAAGGGGGAAGAGCAUUCCAGGCAGAGAUAAUACAGGGCCACCUGGCAGGGUCAAGAAGACUUGGGGCCCCUUGGCAUAUUAAAGUGGGCGGUGGUAGCAGUCUGUCCACAUGCAGGCUAGAAGGGGUGCAUAUCUAUAAAGAGCUUAACAAUAAUAGAUCCAACUAAAAGUUGGUCUGCCUUUUAUUAUUGCUGUGUGCCAGUGAUUUUUAAAUACUGUUGAAAUACUCCUCUCCUAAAAAAUCUUUUGUUGGUUUAAGUUCUAAAUAAUUGCUGUAGAUACUGAAUUUUAUUUGUACAUGUAAACUUCACACUAACACAUUUUUAUUAGCGAUCCUUUAAUAAAUAUUGCAUUCUAUGUGGAAGUUCAUUUGGAGAAUGCUUGGUUAUAUAGUCACACCAAUACCCAUCUUUGGAGCUCACUUUAGGCAAGGGUCACAUCUCCUACCCCUGUGGUAUUAGACACAUCCAAGUUUACACUGUAGAUUCAGAAUAAACAAUCAUGAGUUACUGUCAGUGAUGACAAAGACAAACAGGGCUUGACUUUUUUCAAUUCUGUCAUUCUAUGUAACCAGUUGGACUUUUGUGUUAAAACAGUGGGACAGGCCAGGCGCGGUGGCUCAUGCCUGUAAUCCCAACACUUUGGGAUGCCGAGGUGGGCGGAUCAUGAGGUCAGGAGAUCGAGACCAUCCUGGCUAACACAGUGAAACCCCGUCUCUACUACAAAUACACACACACAAAAAAAUUAGCCAAGAGUGGUGGCAGGCGCCUGUAGUCACAGCUACUUGGGAGGCUGAGGCAGGAGAAUGGCAUGAACCCGGGAGGCGGAGCUUGCAGUGAGCCGAGAUCGCGCCACUGCACUCUAGCCUGGGCAAUGGAGCGAGACUCUGUGUCAAAAAAAAAAAAAAAAAAAAAACCAAAACAAAAAAAAAACAAAAACCAGUGGGACAGAGUGCAAACUGAGAGGCAAAACAUUUUUGUUUGUUAAGUGCAAAUUUUUAAUUUGUACAUGAAAUAUGUUACUGAAUUUGAAUAAAAAUUUACCUUUGAAAUGAAAACCUAUUCCUUUAUACUUGUUAAUGGUUUUAAAAUGAAAGAUGAAUAAAGGAAAUAAAUGUUAUAGCCUAAGUAUUAUUGCCUAAAUUGUAUCUUAUUUAGAUGCUUUGGUUUUAUUAAAAUUUGCUUGUUGGUUGCUGGAUGACCAUUUACAUAAGGGAGUAUAUCAGAUUGUAAAGAAAGGAUCAAAAUUUAAACAGGUAGAUGUGAAAAUGAUUGAAAUAAAUAGUUGUGCCUUUUUCAUUUUUUGGAGCCAUAAUAUUAAUUUUAUGUAUUUAUUUUAUGAUGUGAGUAUGCAUACAAAUUUUGGCAAAUAAAUUUUUCA
rnacentral:lncRNA from 1 species